GUCAUUUCUGGUGGGAGGUUCUCUCCCUUGAGUGCUGCAUUAAAGACCGCGCAUAGAUGUGUAAGGAGUAGUGGGCCGAAUUCUUUGUAAUAUAGGGCUGUGUAGCCGUCCGGUCCUGGGCUUUUAUUUGGUUUGAGGGAUCCCACUGCCAUGGUCAUUUCUUCUGUCGUGACGUCUUGGCUCAGGGCUGCUUGGGCCUCUUGCGUCAGGGUGGGUAGCGUCGUGCUUUGUAAGAAUGUGUCUAUGCGUGUGGACAGCGAUGGGCUGGUGUCAUGGGGUCGGUGGUCAUGGUUGUAGAGGUCCGUGUAAUAGUCCUGGAAGACUUUUCCUAUGCUAGUUGGGCAGUCUGUGAGGGUACCAU